rnacentral:misc_RNA from 1 species
UUUUGGGAUUCAUAUUUGGUAUAUUACAACACGACUCACGAUUUCACAAUGUUUUAUUAAUAAGCUUCUAUACAAAAUAUGUAAGAAAAUCAGUGUUGAAGUUGAAAGUUGUGUCUAUUCACCCCAUUUUACGGUGCUCCAUGGUGUCAACCAAGUGUCAACAGCCGUUGUCAAAUGUCGAUGUGUCAGAAAUAGUUUAUGCUUCGUUUAUGCCAUGAAAAAUUUGUGUUAAGUAUUAUUUUACAAUCUUUUCUAGCUUAAAGCUUUGUCAAGAAAUAGUUAUACAAAAAGGUCACUGAAAUAUCAAAUACAAUAUCUUAAGAAAUAUUACGUAUUCAAUUUCUGUGUACAUAUCUAUCAUGAGUGCAAUAUUCAAUUUUCAAAGUUUAUUAUCAGUAAUAUUACUCUUAAUAUGCACUUGUGCUUAUUUAAGGUCAUUUUUUCCUAGCAUCUUAGACCGGAAUAAAACAGGACUUCUUGGAACCUUCUGGAAAUGUGCAAGAAUUGGGGAAAGAAAAUCUCCUUACGUUGCUACAUGCUGUGUGAUAAUGGCUUUUACAAUACUUUUUCUAACAUGAGGCCUUUUUAAUGUUAAUUUAGUGUCCAAUUGUCAGGUAUAUAAAUAGGAGUGAUGUAUGUUUUUUCAAAUAAAAGAGGAUUUAUAUAUUUUUUCUUUUAUUGUAUGAAUCAAUUCUAGCACAGAUAAAAAUUUAAUGAAAAACAGUACAUACUAGUAGAGUAUAAAGAGAUUAUAAAACAGUCACAAAAUCCAACAGUAAUCAAUGUUACAUUUUUAAAACAUAAUGCUUUGCUUCCUUCAAUUAAAAAUCAAUCAAAAGUAAUAAAUUUUAAAUAAAAAUUUAUCAAAAUAGCAAGUCCCACAUGCAGAUGUUAACAAGUGUUUCAUAUACCAUAAAAGCUUUCAUUUAAAUUAUCUUCAAAAAUUAUUUUAUUUCAGUAUAAAUAAAGUUGAAAAAGACUGCAAUAACUGUCCUACAAAACAAAAACAUUCAGAUAACAAACUUUUUCCUUUUAAAUGAAAACUUUUUAAAAUAAUAAUUUAAUUUUCGAAACUUGUACAAAAUUCUUAAGAGCCAUUUUAGUCAUACAAUAAUACUAUUAUUACAAUUGUGUUGAAAACAUUAAAAUGUAUACUCUAACAUAUUUAAUAAAUAGAGCAUAAAUCAGUCUAGACAUUGUCCUCUAUAGUAACUAACAGAGUUUAAUACAGCGACACACGUACAACUACAAGCUAUUGCUAAAAAAAUAUGUAAUUAACUUCGAUGCAUUGAGUCACAUACUAUUUCGGAAAUAUAAGGUUACUUUUUUACAUAAAAAUAUUGUUUAUUUAGAAGAUUUAUUAGUAAAAAUGGAAAUCUAUUAAUAAUUCGUAAUGCUUGUUUUACCAGGUUUUUAAAAUAUAUGUGUACCUAUUUAUAUUGAAAAUAAUACAUAAAUAAUCAUAUAAGAAAUUCACUCAUCAAAGGCAAAUUUAAUAAUAACUGCUUAAACAAAAGUUGAAACACAUAAGUUUGUAGUUGCAGAUAAAAGUAACUACAAAAAAAGAACACUUAAAUAAUUAAUGUGUAAUAUUGAACUUGGAAUCCUACUGUAUUGAAAGAAAAUUUAUUUUAACAUAGUAAUAAAUAAUACUGACUUUGCAGUGAUAUAUAUGGCAGUAAAUUAAUUUUUUG